rnacentral:rRNA from 1 species
AUUGAACGCUGGCGGUAUGCUUUACACAUGCAAGUCGAACGGCAGCACGGGGACAGCCUUGGUUGCUAGUUGCCAACUGGUGAGUAAUACAUGGGAACGUGGCCGGCCGUGUGUGAUCACGUCGUGAAAGUUGCGCUCAUACCGCAUACGUUCAGAUGAUGAAAGCGUGGGACCUUCGUCGCUCCGGACAUCGGGACAGGGGAUGUCAGGUUGGGUAGUUGGUUGGUUAAAGGCCUACCAACCCGACGAUUCGAAGCUGGUCUGAUAGGACGACCAGCCACACUGGAACUGAGACACGGCCCAGACUCCUACGGGAGGCAGCAGUGGGGAAUUUUGGACAAUGGGCGCAAGCCUGAUCCAGCCAUUCCGCGUGCAGGAAGAAGGCCUUCGGGUUGUAAAACCCUUUUGUACGGAAAGAAAAGCCUCUGGCUAAUACCUGGGGCUCCUGACGGUACCGAAAGAAUAAGCACCGGCUAACUACGUG